GAAAUAGAAGAUUUUUAAGUGGUGUUGCCAUGCCAUUUUUAUCAGUCACUGUGAUUCAUUAUUCUACAGUGCCUGUUAGAAUGGUUUGAUGAGCCGCUAAAUACAACGAAUAUUAAUA
rnacentral:precursor_RNA from 9 species